CCUACGGGCGGCUGCAGUGGGGAAUCUUCCGCAAUGGGCGCAAGCCUGACGGAGCAACGCCGCGUGGGUGAAGAAGGCCUUCGGGUUGUAAAGCCCUGUCUUAUGGGAAGAAGUCAGUGACGGUACCAUAGGAGGAAGCCACGGCUAACUACGUGCCAGCAGCCGCGGUAAUACGUAGGUGGCGAGCGUUGUCCGGAAUUACUGGGCGUAAAGGGCGCGCAGGCGGGUUUUUAAGUCAGAUGUGUAAUCUACAGGCUCAACCUGUAGUUUGGAUCUGAUACUGGAAAUCUUGAGUGCAGGAGAGGACAGUGGAAUUCCUAGUGUAGCGGUGAAAUGCGUAGAUAUUAGGAGGAACACCAGUGGCGAAGGCGGCUGUCUGGCCUGCAACUGACGCUGAGGCGCGAAAGCGUGGGUAGCGAACAGGCUUAGAUACCCCAGUAGUC
rnacentral:rRNA from 1 species